AGCUUCAGUAGCGUAUAUUAAAGUUGUUGCAGUUAAAAAGCUCGUAGUCGCAUUUCUGGCGAGAGGAUCCGGUCCGACCUUUUGGUGGGUUCUUGGGUCUCUUUCGCCAUCCUUGAGUGGUCCGUUCUGGCAUUAGGUUGUCGGAGCGUCAGCCGCUCAUCGUUUACUGUGAGAAAAUUAGAGUGUUCAAAGCAGGCUUAUGCCGUUGAAUAUAUUAGCAUGGAAUAAUAAGAUAGGACCUCGGUACUAUUUUGUUUGUUUGCGCACCAAGGUAAUGAUGAACAGGGACAGUUUGGGGUAUUUGUAUUUCGUUGUCAGAGGUGAAAUUCUUAGAUUUACGAAAGACAAACUACUGCGAAAGCAUUUACCAAGGAUGUUUUCA
rnacentral:rRNA from 1 species